rnacentral:rRNA from 1 species
GACGUAGGGCGCGAGCGUUGUCCGGAAUUAUUGGGCGUAAAGAGCUCGUAGGCGGUUUGUCGCGUCUGCUGUGAAAACCUAAGGCUCAACCUUGGGCUUGCAGUGGGUACGGGCAGACUAGAGUGCGGUAGGGGGUGACUGGAAUUCCUGGUGUAGCGGUGGAAUGCGCAGAUAUCAGGAGGAACACCGAUGGCGAAGGCAGGUCACUGGGCCGCAACUGACGCUGGAGGAGCGGAAAGCAUGGGGAGCGAACAGG